CAGGCGAGUAGAGCUCCGAGGACUAGUGAAGGAGACGGACUAACCCGGGGAAGAUCGUGCAUAUUAAUCCAAUGAUUGGAUCGACAGAUGAAAAGUGAGACCGCGAAUUAGCCAGACAUACGCACGUGGAGGGAAGGUAGAACUGAAGACUAAAUAAAGGGGAUUCCAAAAAUGUAUUUAUUCAUCUUGGACCUAUAACACAAGUGUCUGAUGAAGCACGUCAUCACUACCUGCUCACCAACCGUCAUGAGUUUGAGGCAGCAAGACAAAGUAGUCUACGAAAAUGUGAACCGGAGGUCGUUUUCUGUCUUUGGUUAUCUAGCUGUAUGAGUGUUAAAUACCUGUCAUAAAGCUAGAUAACCGAAAGUAGAAAUUACUUCCACAUUCUUGUUCCGGUGGAAAAUAAGGCGUAGGCUAUGCCUACAACUAAAUUGGGCCUUUUGACAAGGUUCGCCAAGUUCCACCUCAAAGGUGACUCAUUAACAAAAUGGUGUGAUCAAGGAGCACAAAUAGGGGACAGAAUCAUCAAAAAAAGCGAAUGAGGAGGAAAAUUGCCACACAAUACCCCACCCCCUUUACCCACCGGCCUCUAAUGCCAUCUGUACUGCAAAAUGGGAGACAAGAGACGCCGUGCCUAUGCCAAGAUGGGGACAAAGCCAGCUCUCCAGAGGAUGGGCAUGCUGAGAGUAGAGAGAGGAACCAUCUUGGGAGACAUUGCUGCAGCACCUAAGAUGGCUGGGCUGGCAUACGACGUUUGGAUGUGAAGUGGUCAGUAGGGAGGGAGAUUCUGCAUACUCUAUUGGUGUUCCUGGUACAGUAUUCACCAAACCACUAAACAACCAUCAGAGUUUUGGAAAACAUCUCUGUCACUGUCAUACAAAGUUUAUACAACCAGAGGACCACGACAAGGAAGAGGGAAGAUUUGUGCAAUUUAGUUUUAUUUGUAGUUUUUGUUAGCAAUAGGGUAAUAGUGUAAUGAUUCAAAUCUCUUUUUUAUUUGUAUUUCUAAUCUACAAUUUGUUUCUAUUUGUCUUUGUUACUUCUUUUUGAUAUUUAUUAUUUGAGUCUUAUUUUUGUAUAUAUUUAUAUAGUUUUAAAUGCUAUGAUUAUUUGUGUUGUUCCAAAUGUCUGAAUAAAAAUUACAGUUAGUGUAGAAUGGUGCUGCUUUUUUGGGGGGGGGGGCUGAACUGGGGGUUCACCCAGGAAGCCAUACAAGCUAGAACCGCCACUGCUUAAGAGAUACGUUGCCCCCCCCCAAAUAAUAAUCUCCUUCCAUAGAAGAAUGGGGGCGGGACAAUGUCUAAAAAUACUAAUCUCAACCCCCAGAACCAAAUCACAAGAGACUAGAAAAUACUGGAGAAAUAUGAUAUUUCUUUCAUGGAAUACAUUCACACUUUGACUUUCACUCUUGAUUGAUUUUGUUGUUCUUUUACUAAUUCAAUUAAAUAAUCCUGAAAAACAUUAUGAACCCACUUAUGCUCUCAAAUCACAAGUGACAGUCAUAUACUCAGCUGUAUUUGAUGUAAAAGUACUGAAUAUGUAUGUGUGUGUCUGUCUGUGUGUGUGUGUGUGUGUGUGUGUGUGUGCGCGCGCCUGUGCGUGUGUGCGCCUGUGCGUGUGCAUGCAUGCAAGUACAGUGCCUUCAGAAAGUAUUCAGACCCCUUUACUUUUGACACAUUUUGUUAAGUUACAGGCUUAUUCUAAAAUGGAUUAAAUAGUUUUUUGCCCUCAUCAAUCCACACUCAAUACCCCAAAAUGACAAAGUAAAAACAGGAUUCUUAAAUUUCACAUUUACAUAAGUAUUCAGACCCUUUGCUCAGUACUUUGUUGAAGCGCCUUUGGCAGUGAUCACAGCAUUGAGUAUUCUUGGGUAUGACGAUACAUGCUUGGCACACCUGUAUUUGGGGAGUUUCUCCCAUUCCUCUCUGCAGAUCCUCUCAAGCUCUGUCAGGUUGGAUGGAGAGCAUGGAUGUACAGCUUUGUCCGGGCUCUGGCUGGGCCACUCAAGGACAUUCAGAGACUUGUCCCGAAGCCACUCCUGCUUUGUCUUGGCUGUGUGCUUAGGGGUGUUGUCUUUUUGGAAGGUGAGCCUUCACCCCAGUCUGAGCACUCUGGAGCAUGUUUUACCAAGGAUCUCUCUGUACUUUGCUCCGUUCAGCAUUGCCUCAAUCCUGACUAGUCUCCCAGUCCCUGCUGCUGAGAAACAUCCCAACAGCAUGAUGCUGCCACCACCAUGCUUCACCGUAGGGAUGGUGCCAGGUUUCCUUCAGACGUAACACUUGGCAUUCAAGCCAAAGAGUUCAAUCUUGGUUUCAUCAGACCAGAGAAUCUUGUUUCUCAUGGUCUGAGAGUCCUUUAGGUGCCUUUGGCAAACUCCAAGCGGGCUGUCAUGUGCCUUUUACUGAGGAGUGGCUUCCGACUGGCCACUUUACCAUAAAGGCCUGAUUGGUGGAGUGCUGCAGAGAUGGUUGUCCUUCUGGAACUCUAGAGCUCUGUCAGAGUGACCAUCAGGUUGACCAAAGCCCUUCUCCCCCGAUUGCUCAGUUUGGCAAGGAGACUAGCUCUAGAAAGUCUAGGAGUCUUGGUGGUUCCAAACUUCUUCCAUUUAAGAAUGAUGGAGGCCACUAGGUUCUUGGGGACCUUCAAUACUGCAGAAAUGUUUUGGUACUGUUCCCCAGAUCUGUGCCGUGACACAAUCCCGUCUAGGAGCUCUACGGACAAUUCCUUCAACCUCAUGGCUUAGUUUUUGCUCUGACAUGCACUAUGAACUGUGGAACCUUAUACAGACAGCUGUGUGCCUUUCCAAAUGAUGUCCAAUCAAUUGAAUUCACCACAGGUGGACUCCAAUCAAAUUGUAGAAACAUCUCAAGGAUGAUCAAUGGAAACAUGAUGCAUCUGAGCUCAAUUUCGAGUCUAAUAGCAAAUGGUCUGAAUACUUAUAUAAAUAAGGAAUUUCUUAAUUUUUUUUCUCCUAAAACCAGUGGUUUGCUUUGUCAUUAUGGGGUAUUGUGUGUAGAUGCUGAGGAUUUGUUUUUUCAAUCCACUUUAAAAUAAGGCUGUAACAUAACAAAAUGUGUAAAAAGUCAUAGGGUCUGAAUACUUUUCCGAAGGCACUGUAUAUGGAUGACAUUGCUGUAUGUGUGUGUGCAUGUACAUGUACGUGUGCAUGUGUGCAUGCGUGUAUGUGUGCAUGCGUGUAUGUGUGCAUGCUUGUACGUGUGCAUGCAUGCAACUAUGUGGAUGACAUUGCUGUUUACAAACCCUGAAGAAAGUGAUUUUGCAUUAUUUUCAAUAAAAUUAUGCAAUUUGCAUUGUACAAUGAUAA